rnacentral:rRNA from 1 species
GGGGGAUGCAUGGGCGGAGCCUGAUGCAGCAACGCCGCGUGAGGGAUGACGGCCUUCGGGUUGUAAACCUCUUUUAGCAAGGAAGAAGCGAAAGUGACGGUACUUGCAGAAAAAGCGCCGGCUAACUACGUGCCAGCAGCCGCGGUAAUACGUAGGGCGCAAGCGUUAUCCGGAAUUAUUGGGCGUAAAGAGCUCGUAGGCGGUUUGUCGCGUCUGCUGUGAAAUCCCGAGGCUCAACCUCGGGCCUGCAGUGGGUACGGGCAGACUAGAGUGCGGUAGGGGAGAUUGGAAUUCCUGGUGUAGCGGUGGAAUGCGCAGAUAUCAGGAGGAACACCGAUGGCGAAGGCAGAUCUCUGGGCCGUAACUGACGCUGAGGAGCGAAAGGGUGGGGAGCAAACAGGCUUAGAUACCCUGGUAGUCCACCCCGUAAACGUUGGGAACUAGUUGUGGGGUCCAUUCCACGGAUUCCGUGACGCAGCUAACGCAUUAAGUUCCCCGCCUGGGGAGUACGGCCGCAAGGCUAAAACUCAAAGGAAUUGACGGGGACCCGCACAAGCGGCGGAGCAUGCGGAUUAAUUCGAUGCAACGCGAAGAACCUUACCAAGGCUUGACAUACACGAGAACGCUGCAGAAAUGUAGAACUCUUUGGACACUCGUGAACAGGUGGUGCAUGGUUGUCGUCAGCUCGUGUCGUGAGAUGUUGGGUUAAGUCCCGCAACGAGCGCAACCCUCGUUCUAUGUUGCCAGCACGUAAUGGUGGGAACUCAUGGGAUACUGCCGGGGUCAACUCGGAGGAAGGUGGGGAUGACGUCAAAUCAUCAUGCCCCUUAUGUCUUGGGCUUCACGCAUGCUACAAUGGCCGGUACAAAGGGCUGCAAUACCGUGAGGUGGAGCGAAUCCCAAAAAGCCGGUCCCAGUUCGGAUUGAGGUCUGCAACUCGACCUCAUGAAGUCGGAGUCGCUAGUAAUCGCAGAUCAGCAACGCUGCGGUGAAUACGUUCCCGGGUCUUGUACACACCGCCCGUCAAGUCAUGAAAGUCGGUAACACCUGAAGCCGGUGGCCCAACCCUUGUGAGGGAGCCGUCGAAAGUGGGAUCGGUAAUUAGGACUAAGUCGACAACAAGGGGUAAACCAA